GCGGCUGGACUAUUUAUUACCCUUGUCUUUUGCGCACUUGUUGUUUCCUGGGCGGGUUCGCUCGCCACCAGGACCACAAUAUAAACCUUUUUUAUGCAGUUGCAAUCAGCGUCAGUAUAACAAAUGUAAAUCAUUUACAACUUUCAACAACGGAUCUCUUGGUUCUGGCAUCGAUGAAGAACGCAGCGAAAUGCGAUACGUAGUGUGAAUUGCAGAAUUCAGUGAAUCAUCGAAUCUUUGAACGCACAUUGCGCCCUUUGGUAUUCCAAAGGGCAUGCCUGUUCGAGCGUCAUUUGUACCCUCAAGCUUUGCUUGGUGUUGGGCGUUUUUGUCUUUGGCCCGCCAAAGACUCGCCUUAAAAUGAUUGGCAGCCGGCCUACUGGUUUCGCAGCGCAGCACAUUUUUGCGCUUGCAAUCAGCAAAAGAGGACGGCAAUCCAUCAAGACUCCUUCUCACGUUUGACCUCGGAUCAGGUAGGGAUACCCGCUGAACUUAAGCAUAUCAAUAAGCGGAGGAAACAUAUCAAUAAGCGGAGGAGGAA
rnacentral:sRNA from 1 species